AGUGUUUCACUCAAUCACUCAAGUGUUUAGGGUGACACUGCAACUCUCUAUCAUUCACAAGUCACAAGAAAUAAAAUUGCCAUUCAUCUCAAACAAUAAACAUCUUUACAUGCAAAUGCCAUCAAAAGGACUUUUCCAAGGCUUGUAAUGAGGUUAGGCUAACAAGAAGAAUUGGUUUUUUCUAGAAUGCAAAGUCCUUGAAUCAAGAGAGCUAUAAUAAUAGUCAUCAUUUGAGCACAACUCUCUUCCUCACCAAUCUCACUCAUUCUCAACGUUUUCCCUUUUCCUUUUUUUUUCAUUGAGCUCAUCUUCAUGCUUUUCUUCUUUUCUUUUCUUUUUGUCAUGAAUUUUUCUUUUCACAACAUUUGAGCUCAAUGUUUUUCACUUGCCUUUCAAUUCCCCCAUGCAACCCCAAACUUGAACCUUUUUCUCACAUACAAUUAAGCUCAUCCCAACUCAAGGUAAAGAAUUUCAAGACA
rnacentral:lncRNA from 1 species